rnacentral:rRNA from 1 species
UUAAAUUGAAGRGUUUGAUCAUGGCUCAGAUUGAACGCUGGCGGCAGGCCUAACACAUGCAAGUCGAACGGUAACAGG